GCCGAGCACGAAGCCGCCGAGCGCCAUGACAUCACUGACAGUCGGUCGUCUGGGUGACAAAACGCUGCGUGGCGUUCAGCUCCGGGUCCUGGAGGCGUUUCCCUCCCAGCGUUUCUCUGAGUUUUUCCUCCACUGACCGACGACCUCCUACUGGACAUACUGGAGCGACCAGACAGAAACCAGUUCAGGUUCCUGCAGAGAGGAGAACGAAAGCUGGACUGAUACUCAGUCAACAUCCUGCCAGACACACAGGAACGGUUCCACGCAUCAUUUCACCGGCCUGUCAGAGACG